CUGCGCCCCAAGAGACAAUGGAGCCAAGUCUGACAUAUUUUUUCAUAUCUUGGAAGAAUAUUUGGAUCAUGAUAAAGCCAUAUGCACAAGGCAAGACUGCCAAGUGGAGCUAUUUAGGGAUCAACCAAGAACUUCCACCCAAUUGUGAUGAGCCAUAAGGCUGUCUGCAAUCAUAUCAGUGACCUGGUGACUAUGAUUCAUGCCUUCAUGCCUCCCCCAACCCUGCAUGAAAUAUCAUUGUAACUUUCUGUAUCCAACCACAAUAACUGAUCAUUCACAACAGAUUCUUCAAUGAAUCCAGAGUGCAGCAGCUUUCUGUUCAGAAGCAUGAGACAAGUGAACACCUCAAUCUGGUGCAUGGCGCAGCUCAAUGGCCUGUGACAAAAUAUCAGCCAAUUUCAGAAUUAAUCUACAAAGCCAGUUACUGCAUAGUGGUAGAUACUUUGGAGAGUAUCCUUUUCUUCAUAAUGGCAAUCUCCUCUGACAGCUGUGUUGAACAAAAGAAUAGCUCAGUUAUAAUAGUGUUAGCCUCAAACCUGUGACACCCAGGACUUUCAGCAAGUCACACAGACUUAUUAAGCACUUGGAAUUAGGCACCUAAAUAUGAUUCUAUUCCAUCCUGAAACACUGUUUAAAAAGUGUAAUGAGUCCUUCCCCUUUCUCCUCCCUGUUUUUUUUUUUUUUUUUUGUGACUACAUUUAUGUCUAAGUGUGUUUCAAAAACAGCAUCAUAACAGCAUGUUUCAUUGUAUGGGAUGGAGGAGAACUGUAUUGAGUCCUCUUAGGUCAGUACAAUCGACAUAAUAGGAUCUGGCCCAUAAUUUCUCCUGUGUGGGAUCCAUGAGGACACAUGUGCAUCAGCUGUUCCUUUAAGCUACUUGUAAUCUGCAAUUCCUCUAGUACCAUUGGUGUCAAUAUUACAUUUAUGUUAUGAACAUGAAAUGAAU